rnacentral:rRNA from 2 species
AUAUAGAUUAAGUUAUUAAGGGCGCACGGUGGAUGCCUUGGCACUAGAAGCCGAUGAAGGACGUUACUAACGACGAUAUGCUUUGGGGAGCUGUAAGUAAGCAUUGAUCCAGAGAUUUCCGAAUGGGGAAACCCAGCACGAGUUAUGUCGUGUUAUCUGCAUGUGAAUACAUAGCAUGCAAGAAGGCAGACCCGGAGAACUGAAACAUCUUAGUACCCGGAGGAAGAGAAAGAAAAAUCGAUUCCCUGAGUAGCGGCGAGCGAAACGGGAAGAGCCCAAACCAAUAAGCUUGCUUAUUGGGGUUGUAGGACACUCUGUACGGAGUUACAAAAGAAUUU